rnacentral:rRNA from 1 species
AUCUCUUUUGCUAUUUUUUAGUAUUGGAGAUUUUGUUACUUUGAGUAAAUUAGAGUGUUCAAAGCAAACAGUUAAAGCAUUUUACUGCGUUUGAAUACUACAGCAUGGAAUAACAAAAUUGAACAAGUCAGAAUUCUGUUCUUUUUUCUUAUUUUGGCUUAGUUACGAUUAAUAGGAGUAGCUUGGAGGCAUUUGUAUUCAGAUGUCAGAGGUGAAAUUCUUAGAUUUUCUGGAGACAAACAACUGCGAAAGCAUUUGCCUAAAAUACUUCCAUUAAUCAAGAACGAAAGCUAAGGGAGUGAAGACGAUCAGAUACCGUCGUAAUCUUAACCAUAAACUAUGCCGACUAGGUUUUGGAUGAAACAUUUUUAAAUAAGAAAAUUCCUUUCGGGGAAAUUUCUUAGAUUGCUUCCUUCAGUACCUUAUGAGAAAUCAAAGUCUUUGGGUUCUGGGGCGAGUAUUCGCGCAAGCGAGAAAGUUAAAAGAAUUGACGGAAGGGCACCACCAGGCGUGGAGCUUGCGGCUUAAUUUGACUCAACACGGGGAAACUCACUAGUUUAAGACAAGAGUAGGAUUGACAGAUUAAUAGCUCUUUCUUGAUUUCUUGGAUGGUGAUGCAUGGCCGUUUUUAGUUCGUGAAUAUGAUUUGUCUGGUUAAUUCCGAUAACGAACGAGAUCUUAACUUGCUAAUUAGCGGCGAAUACGUCAUAUUCUUAUGCGAAAUUGAAUAUAGCUGAAUUUGCUUAUUUUGAAGAAUACACUAGGAUACAAUUAAUGUGUCCUUUUCC